CAAAUCACACACACACAAACUCCUAUGUCAAGAGAAAGUGCUUCAACCCAUCAACAUGCAUGGUAAUGCUCCUAAAUGCAAUUGUCAACAAAACUGCAUUAUUUUCAUCUCAAAUACAGCUAAGAAUCCCAACAGACGAUUCUUUGGAUGUCCCUAUUUUAAGUAUUUUUGACUAUUGCAGCAAAAUAGUAAGUCAUAUUGUAACUAUUUCAUGUGGGAGGAUGAAUUUGUUGAAUCCCAAGCUACAAUGGUUGAGUUGGUGGAAACGACAUAUGAGAGAGAUACGGAAGUCAUAAUAAUUGAAAUGAAGAGAGAAAUGGAGAGGAAUAUGGAAGUCAGAGAAAUUCAAAUUAAGAAAACGGGUUGCAGAUCAUGUGUUUGGAUGGUGGGGAUUUUGAUUGUGGCUUUGGUUGUAUACAUUUGUCUUUGGAAGUAAACAAAAUUGUCUAAGUGAUGUAUUAUUAGACUUUCCUUUGUAUGUUUUAAUCAACUAUGUGUCGUAAUGAUAUGUAUACAAAAUUGUCUUAGCGGUGUUUCAAUUGUUUAUCACUUCAUCAUUUUUUAUACUUCUUAAUGUUGGAAAAA